UUGUAGACCUGAUAAUGUUGAGUCGUGUCAGGUUGACGGUCCGGAGGCCAUCUGUCAGCUGACUGACGUUCCCAAACUGUACGGAGAGUCUUCCAUCAACAACCGGAAGGGAAAACUUUUCUUGUUCUACGAGUGGCAGCUGAGGGCCAACUGGCUGGGUCAGUGAUGAUGUCACUGAUGAUGAUACUUCUCUUCAGUGGUGCUCACUGUUUCCUGUCUGCAGUGAUGUCCAGCAGCGGCGGGAAGUUCUGAGGAACUGUUGAGGUUUCCAACCUUUCGGAGGAAAAUGACCCUGAAGACCUGGAUAUUUUGGUGUCUUUGUGUAAGGAUCAGCGCGACACGCCGCCAUGAGGCUUUGAGGAGGUUCGAAAAGUUCUGGGCAACUUUGUCUGCCAGCUCAAAUCAGAGUUCAGUCAGGGGAUGAUCCUGCCGACUGGAGACCAACCUCAGAACCAGAACCAGGAGACCCUGAUCAACAGAAGCACACUUGAGACCCACACCCAGCAGACCAUGAUCCAAAGCAGUAAAUCUCAGAAAAGCUCCGCCCCCAGGUGCUCCUCUAGCCCCGCUCCCCUGCGCCUCAGGUACCUGCAGCUUCACCCUGAUGGGAACCUUCCAGACAGCUGUAUGAGACUUUCAUCAGCCAGGAGAUACCAGACCAAGACUAGGACUGAGACUAGGACUGGGAAUCAGGACUGAACCAUGACUGAACAGGACUUAAACCAGGACUGAAUCGAGACCAAAUCAGAACUAACCCACUGGAGUCAAAGUCCACUUUAUUGUCAAAGUUUCCACAUGUGUUAUACAUACAGAACAUUGAAAUACCGUUUCUGGUAGUCCCACAGUGCAAAUAUAAACAAGAAUAUAAAACAUAAAAAGAGAAGAGUGUAGAAAAAAAGGGGAGGGGUAAAAAGGGGUAUACAAAGAAAAACUAAGUAAUACAUACAUGUGUUGGACACCAUCAACAGUUUGAACCCUGACAGUCUGUGCGCCUGCAGCUGGUGCAGGUUUUCACUCACUCGGCGGCAGUGGUGGCGGCUCUUAAUGAUGGACGGCUACGUCAGCGGCGAGUUCAGCCAAUUGGUGGUGAGUGUUCCCGCGGUAACAGACGGUGGCUCCCAACAGGUACCAGGUCGGAGGAUCGGGAGGAGGUGGUGCUUCAAGACCUGGCCUUUCGGUACGUGUGGACACGAGGCCUGGACCAGACCCAGCUGAGACUGCAGUGUGGUGGGGUCCCACCGGGGGAGGAGGACGCAACCUGGGAGGGCUGGAGGCGGUUCUACUUCAACGCCAUCAAACCGACUUUCGGGUACUGAGACCUCCCGGACCCUGAGACCGGUCUGAUUUCGGGUUAGAGAUGAUGCAACCUCACAUUCAAACAGGAAACCAGGAUCUACUUUCUUCUUCUGCAGCACUGUAAGAGUUUCCUCCAUCAACAAAACAACAAGCUGCCUGCUUUCGAUGUGUCAUACGUCAAGACUGGAUGCUGAAAACAGUUAGCCUAGCUUAGCAUCAAGACUUGAAGCAGGGGAAACAGUUAGCCUAGCUUAGCAUCAAGACUGGAAGCAGGGGAAACGGUGUGCCUAGGGUUAGCGUCAGGGCUGGAAUGACUGAAUGUGAUGUAUGUGGAAGAAGAAAUGGUGUAAAA